UAUUUAUGUCAAAAUAUCAUUUACCGCCUCUCUCUUUAAAAAAACCCUAAAUCGUCUUUCUCUAAUUCUUCAUCCCAAUCUGUUGGCGUUUAGGCAUUUGGAGAAGAUCGUCGGAGAAGAAGCGGAAGACGCGGAGGCUGCAAAGCACAAUCGUCGCAGCAUUCGGUUUGCCUUGUUUGAAGGUUGAAAGCGAGGGAGAUAUUUGUGCUCUUCCACUUUGUCCAUUCGCAAAGCCUGAAAACCUGCUCCUUGAUUCCCAAGGAAAGUUGAAGGUUUCUGAUUUUGGACUGGGUGCAUUACCUCAAAAGGGAGUUGAUCUUCUUCAUACAACCUGGGGACUCCAAAUUACGUUGCACCCGAGAACAGCUCGAUUGGCUUCAAGCCUUUGUGACUGAGGCAAAUAUACAACAAAUGUGUAGUUAUUGUGGACCAGUGUUGUCAAAAUGGCGCUCGGGUCGCCCGGGUCGAGACCGUCACCGCCCCAACAUGGGUGGGUUGAUCGAGGUACGGGGUCGCCUGGGUCGAGAUACAGGUAAUUCCUAAACCUUUAUUCUCUGAAUCUUUUCCUUUUUAAUGCUGAUUUGUUUUUACUAAAAUAAACAUAAGUAUAAAAGUAAAACUUACCUAAAAGUCUGCUGAUUUUCUCAAAUCUUUCACACUUUUGUUCUGAUUUUCUCUAAUCUUAGCACACGUUUUUUCUCCUCUGUUCCUCAGAUCUCUCACACUUUUAUUCUGAUUUUCCAAAAUCUCAGCACACGUUUUUUCUACGUUCUCCUUUGUUUCUCUCAAUUAUCUAUAUAUAUGCAUGAACCACAUCAAGCUUUUCAAACCCUAAAUUCAUACUCUUCAUUCCUAAACAAAUAUACAGAGCCACCCUUCAUCUAUUCCUUCCUUUGUUUAAUCAAGGUAUUGUUCUAACUUUCAUCUUCUUUUUGAAUUUUGUGUGCAGAUUUUAAUUCUAAUUCGGCCUCUACAAGCAGCUUGUACCACUUUAUCUACCUAUAGGCUAUAUGUAUUGAAACUUUAUUUGAUAUAUUGUAAACAUUAGAGUAAUAUAUUUAUUUGAUUUAAUAUUAAAAGGCAAAAAAAUUAGGCUAGAAUAGUGGGUCUCUCGACCUAGUCGACUCGCCUACUCGUGACCCGAAUUUUCACAUCAUCGAUCCGGUGCGACCCUCGACCCUAACUACACUGUUGUGGACUUAGUUGAUAUGGAAAUAGUGUAUCACCUUGCCUUCUAUUUCUUGAAUAUGAUUGUGCAGCAUCUUCUAACUUUAUCUAGAUGAAAAUAUUAUGAAGUUGCUUUAAAAAGACUUGACAAUAAGCUGUAGGUAAUGUAUAUUGGUGACAAAGUUCAUACCAAAACUAUACAAUAGGUAGGGAUUUUUAAUCUGGUGAACUGCCACCCUGAUGUCUCAUAUCAAUUUGCAUCUCUAUGUUGCUACUCUCUAUGCUCCUAUGGAAGUAAACAAUGUAAGUUUAAGAGUAAAUUAGGUAUAUGUCUUAGAAGCAUGGGUUUAUAGAUCUUGAAAAUUUAUUAAGAUGGCCAUAUAACAUGGGUUUAGUCUAUAAUUCUGAAUUCAGAUUUCCGUUUGCCUUGCUUGAAGAUUGAAAGCAACAUAUGCGAGAGGAAGCAGCCAAGAGGGAGCAACAAAUGGAAGAUCGAAUGAUGUGCCUUUUUAAUGAAAAAAUGUGUAGUUUAGUGUAAUUUUGUAAGACAAUGUUAUCUUUAUAUAUUUUUGUUAUACAAUCUUAUCUUUUUAAUGUUA